rnacentral:rRNA from 1 species
AUUGAACGCUGGCGGCAUGCCUUAUACAUGCAAGUCGAACGGUAACGCGGGGCAACCUGGCGACGAGUGGCGAACGGGUGAGUAAUGUAUCGGAACGUGCCCAACAGUGGGGGAUAGCCCGGCGACAGCCGGAUUAAUACCGCCUGAGCCCUUAGGGUGCAAGCGGGGGAUCGCAAGACCUAGCACUGUUGGAGCGGCCGAUAUCAGAUGAGGUAGUGGGUGGGGUAAAGGGCUACCAAGCCUGCGAGCGGGAGCUGGUCUAAGAGGAUGACCGGCCACGCGGGGACUGAGACACGGCCCAGACUCCUACGGGAGGGAGCAGUGGGGAAUGUUGGACAAUGGGCGCAAGCCUGAUCCAGCCAUGCCGCGUGCGGGAAGAAGGCCUUCGGGUUGUAAACCGCUUUUGUCAGGGAAGAAAUCUUCUGGGUUAAUACCUCGGGAGGAUGACGGUACCUGAAGAAUAAGCACCGGCUAACUACGUGCCAGCAGCCGCCGUAA